AUUGAACGAAAUAACGUUAAAGGAAAGAGGUUAUGAAGGUAUGUUAGAUUUUUUACCUUUUAAUCUAGAUAAGAUAUGAAAAAUCAUGUAAGAAUGUUUAUUUCAGUAACAAUGACUAAAAUACAUUAUAAACACGAAAUUUGUUAAUUUCAAUAAAGUUUUUAAACAUUAACUGUACAAAGGAACAUGAUUUGUAUUUUUUGCGAUCAUAGGCAGACACAGGUGAAUAUAUAAAGCACUUGAAAGCAGUCAGAUACUUUUUCGAAAAACAUAGUUCAAGUACAAAUGUUAAUUAAUUAGUAAAUGUGGUUAUUAUAUUGAUAUCAAAUAAUUCAAAGACUAAAAUAUUAGACUUUGAAAGAUAAAAGUUUUAUAAUUAUUUUAUAUAUAGGCACUUUUAUAGGUAUAUGUCAGCCUUUGUGCAAGGACAACCUCUUAUACCUUGUCCAUCGGAUUACAUAUGAUUAAAAAAUACUGGCGUUAGCUAUAUAUAUAUAAAUAGAAAAUGCUAUACACUAUCAUUCGGAAAUAGCAUGAUGCAAUUUCCUAAAAUCUAUAAAUCAAGCCUGCCUUUUUCCCCUUCAAAAUUAUCGCUGAAACUCAUUUUAGAUAAUGUCUCAUUGUUUAUAAAAGCGAUCUCAAAAUUUUUUUUUUUUUAUAUAUGUUCACGAUUUUUUUCAUUUACAGAAUACUUUCGUUUACGUAUGACCAAUAAAUUUCACCUACAGAUAUAGCAAUUUUUUUCCACCAUUGAAUAUUUCUUAAAAUUUGCAUACAUAUACUACAUGUACUAUGCAAUGGAUAAAAAUUUGGGUUAAAAAUAGUAUGUCACCAGACUCGUUACUAUUGUAACGGUCACCAAAGUUGGUACAUCACGUGCAUACCUGAUGUAGAAACUCUGGAUUUUUUUUAAGCCUUUGAAAGUAUUUUGAAAGGUUUGUUCUUCAUUUAUUACAAAAUUUAUAUUUAAAAUGUAAUAAACACAAAUAAUGGCAGUUUUAUUCAUAUUCAUUGAUUUCAGCUCAAAUUUUAUCAACACUCCUCCACCCAAAAACACAGAUUUUGUUAAAAAUUUCUAUUUUUCUUAAAUUUCCCAAAAAAUGGUCCAAUGAAUAUUUUUUUUUAAUUUGACAUAAGAUGGUCAAAACAAUGAGCUUUAAAAAGAAAUAAAAAUAAAAUAUGGGUCACAAGACUAUUUUUUGCCCGAAAAACGUUUUUGUGACCCCUAACGAAAUAGUGAUCAACAGCAAUUUUUUGUAUAUCUUUCAUCAUCGGUGAACCAAGUGUGACAUAUGUUGUCAUAUCCUUUGUUAAACUAACACAGAAUAAUACAGUUUCACAAGGCAAUCAAAUGAAAGCAUUUUUUUUGGUUUCUACGAACAACGAUUACCAUUGCAACAGGACAUGAAGUUGGAAAAUUAAAGUUUUUGCAUUGUUCUGAUGUGCAAAAGUUACAAUCUAACAGACAAUAAGAGAUCAAAUACCAUGAUUUCAGAACAACAACACAUGGCUUCUAUGUAGAUGUAUACAAAUAUUAUGAUACAUUGUAAUGCAACACGACGGGUGCCACAUGUGGAGCAGGAUCUGCUUACCCUUCCGGAGCACCUGGGAUCACCCCUAGUUUUUGGUGGGGUUCGUGUUGUUUAUUCUUUAGUUUUCUAUGUUGUGUCAUGUGUACUAUUGUUUUUCUGUUUGUCUUUUUCAUUUUUAGCCAUGGCGUUGUCAGUUCGUUUUAGAUUUAUGAGUUUGACUGUCCCUUUGGUAUCUUUCGUCCCUCUUUUAUAGACCUGUUUGUAAACAAAAGGUGCAAUCUUAAAUACUCUUUAAAAUGAUAUUAUUUUCAUAUUUUGUGUACUGUUUCGUAGGGGAUUUUUGUCCCCUACGAAACUGCUUCUAAACACACAUAAUUUUUGCAAUUUUAAUGUUUCUAUAGACAUUCCAGUUUGUUUACUUUAUAUACUAGAAAAAUCUCUUUUUUUCUCUGAAUUGGAGAACCAUUUUUUAUCGAUAAAGAUUAGACAGUACUUCACAUAUGAAGGUACAACUCAUGUUACGUAGUGGACAUUUUGAUGCGUUUCAUAGUUGACAAACCCGUUUCGUAGUAGACAAAAAGUUUCGUAGUUGACAUCAACCCUAUUCUAUGUUAAUAAAAACAUAAUAAAAUUACAUGAACUAACCUUUGUUAUUUGCUUUUGCACGAAUAUAAUUGAAAAAAGAGUAAAAAAGACUGCAUGGUAGUGGUAGUGUCACUACGAAACGUUUUUCUUCCAAACUUUUGCGUAGGGACCUUCGUAGGGGACGUAUUCACAUGUUUUAUUUUUUUCUCACAACCCCAAUAUUGCAAUAGUAAAAGGACUGUAUUCAUAAAGCGUAUUAAGCUGUACACUGAUAUUUUUUUCAUAAUUUUAAAACCAGUUACUGAAGGAAAUUUGACCCGUUUCGUAGUGGACAUUUACAAAAAUACGGUAUCACUCUGGUCCAUUUGAUGUGCUCAAUUAUUAUUACCAACAGUUUAAUUGCCGUUAUAAAGCAUCACUUUUUGUAAGACUAAUGUUCAUAUCUCUUGCAAACAAAAAAAUACAUUGAUUUUAUAAAACUGUUAAUAAACAUGUUUUAAUGACUUCGUUUCGUAGUGGACAUUGUGUUAGGGACACACCUUCUAAAAUAAAAAAAAAUCCUAUGUUAAAAGCUGUUUAUAAAAAUAUGUUGGCUCUAAACAUACUUUUGAAUUAUUAAAGAACUUAUAUUAAGUAAAAUUAAUAUUUAUUUCUACAUUUUUUAUGAUAUUUGAGAGAAUGAAUGUUGAACAGGCGGUCUAGGGACAUGCCGUUUUGGUUGUUUUGGACCAUUCAGGAAUCUUAUCUUAUCAAUCCCUCUAAAAAUAAACUGUUUCUUUGCUUAAAAUGUUAUAUCUAAUUCAAUGUACUGACUGCACAAAAAAUUACUUGCAAAGAUCAAACACAUUUUUUUUAAAGUGGCUGGGACAAGAAAGUACGUUUUUAUUGAAAAACGCCCAUAUAUGAUAUAGGGAGCAUUAAAAUGUCCAAUGCAAAAUCAAGGUAUACAUGUAUAUUUAAUAGGUGUGACCUUUACCGUUUACCUUAAAUCAAAACAGUUGAACUGUUCUUUUUGGUAUAAAUUUACAUCUACAGCAUGUGACCAAGUUUGUGAUAAACAUAAGUAAUCUACAUCACAUAGUUAGCUUCAUUGUCAUAAUUGUGGCACAUAAGAACCAGUGGCAGUCUUGAUUAUAUACUUUAUAUUUAAAUUUUAAAAUAAAGCACAAAUCAAUAGUGUAAAAUGUGGAUCACUGUGACCUUCGUUUGCCUGGAAGCUGAGUUACUAACUGAGACUCUGAGAGUGUUUAUUUAAGUUUGCAUGAUCUGACAUCUUAUAGUUGCUGCGAUAUACAUGUGUUGUAUGUACAAUUGGAUGUUUAACGUAACCAAAGUCAGUGAAGUGGAAAAUGUAGGUCAGUAACAUCUGUGUACAAGUUUACAUGAUCCUACAUUUUAUAGUUGAGUCUACUAAAUAUAGUGUCCAAAAAGAAAUGUUUAUGCCUGCAACACACCAUUAUUAGAUUAAAAAGUCUCAAAUAAAACCUCAAGUUUUUUUCUCAAAGGUAAAUACAUGUAAUUAUCCUAAAAUGUAUGUAUUUACCAUUGACAGCCAUCCUUUAUUUUUCUGUAAAACUGCUGCUAAUAACCUGCUGUUAAAGGAUGACCAUGAGACCUACAAUUGAUGAAAAAUAUAACAAAAAUUAAAUAAGAAAAUUUAUAUAAUAUAGGAUUUAAAAAGUGAGAUUUUAUAUUACUUGUUAUCAAUUUUGGUUGUUCAAUAUCAAAAUAAUGAAUAUAAUGAUAAAAAAAAUCUAUUUCUUUUAAUAAAAUAACUAUAAAUCCACUCAAAUUGAAACUGAGAAAAAAAUCAUAUUCCAUAUAAUAACAAGAGCAUUGCUAAGUAUGGCAUCCUCUCACCAUAGAAGACUGUUGCUUUCACGUGGGUGUUUAGAAUCUACAAUGUCCACUUUCACCUUGACAUUUGGGAAUAUCUUUUAUAUUAAUAAAGUUUAUGCCUAAAUUCUUUAAAUUUACCUGUAUUACUUUCAUAUUUUCAACCAAUACCAAACAUUUGCCAUUCUGCAACAAAACUAGCUUCAACCUAAUGAACAAAUAUAGUAACAAAUAUAUAUAUAAAUGAAAGUGCAUGCAGUGUUCAAAUAUAAUAACUAAAACAUAUUACAUUUAAAAUUAACUGGAAACUCAGCCUGUUAACUAUGAAAUUUGUAAUAAUAAUGUAUAAAGGCUUUCAAAACCAAAUAGGUUUCAUUAAAUUUGUUGAAAUAAUCCUUUAAUAUAGAUUUCAUUUAAUAAAUACAAAUGUAACUAAUUCUAGUUCAAUAUUUUUGUUGAAACAAAUUCUAUCAUGUUCUAUACAUGAAAGUCUUCAAGUAUAUAUAACAAUGCUUUACCACAAAAUUGAUUUGAAAUAUUGACCCUAAACUUGAAAUUAUUACCAAGAUCUGUUAAUUCAUUUUUAUGACUGCUUAAGGGCAAAUAUGAAUAUAACUAUGGUCCUCAUUAUACUUCAUAUCUACUAUCUAUUACUCAUUAAAUUAACCAUGUUUCAAACUGUUUCUUCUUUUAAAUUUUACUUACAGGAUUCUUUUGCAACUGCAAAUAUUUUCUUUCCAGGUUCAUUCUCCUUUUUCUUUAAGUAUGGUUGAUGAAUUCACAGAAAGAACAUUCAAUCCAUUUAGAAAAUUGUUGAAAUGUGUGGCACAAGUUCCUGCAUGUAUCAUUCCUGAAAAAUAUGAUAUGAAAUGUCAGUCUGCACAUGUAUUGGUUAAUUAGAUAAACUAUAAACUAUAUAGACUUGAGUUCAUAAUUUUAUUUGGAAUAUACAAUUGAUUUUUUCAAUUUAUAUUUAUAUAAUAUGGUUGUGAAUUCAUGUUUACUUUUAUUCUUAUAGAUCACAGACUCAUACUAAUUUCUAAUAAUGUGGAAUGAGGGUGGGUUCCCCUUCUUAAUUUUCUUUUUUGCCUUCAUGCAUUAUCCUGCUUUCUACACAUCAUUCUAGGUGUUUUUAAAUCACUAAAUAUGUAAGGUAUCAGACCGCUUGGUCUCUGAUCACAUGCAAAAGAUGACUUAAUAUGAAAAUUCUGAUUAUAAAAUAAAGAAAAUUUGUAAAACAUUAUUUUUGUAAAUGAAUCAUUGUGACUGUAUUUGUCUACUUUUUCAAUUCUAACUUCAUUUAUGGUUAAUUGCUACCAAAUAAGUAUUUACAAAAUAAUCCUCCCUUUUUGGAUGCAAAACUAAAAAGCCCCUUAUGCAUAGAUGUCUUUGUGUUCAUUGCAAAAAUGAUAAAUAAUUUCCAGGGGCAAAAUUAAGGAAAAAUUACUUAGUCCAGCUUCAUAAAAAAUUUGGGCAGCACUUCCCCUCAAAAUAAAGCUUUUUUACCUCAAACCACAUAAACCCAGACCAUAUUAUAGAGAGGAGAUUGCAGAAAAGAAAAUAGAGUUGUGGGGCAGGUUCAUUUAUACAAGACAUGAAACCAUACACCUUCUCUACCCAGUAAAAUGUGUAAAAAGAAUAUAUAACAAGAAGUAAUUGUAACAGGAUACUGUUACGAAGUAUCCCAAACAAAGCUCCCAUAACUCGCAAUUCAUAUGGUCCCAUGUUUAUUUGAUUUGAUUUUUUGUCCCAUACAAGAAUAUAUAUGGCUUACUGGUGGGAUCUUCCACAAGUAUUCAAAAAGGAGGGGUGGUGAAGACCCCAGGGAAUUUACCUACUUUCAAUUGAUUUGUUUUUUGUCCAUACAAGAAUAUAUAUGGUUGAGCGGUAGGGAUGUUGACCAUUAACAAGUUUUCAAACAAGAGUGGGGUGGGGUGACCCCCUAGGGACUUCCCUUUUAUUUCAUUUUAUUUGUAUUAUUGUCCCCUACAAGAAUAUAUAUGGUUUAGGGGUGGGGAUCUGGACCAUUUACAAGGUAAUAGUACAUUCUCAAAUUGAACGGGGUUGGGUGACCCCCAGGAACUUCCAUUUAAUUUCAUUUUAUUAGUUUUAUUGUCCCUUACAAGAAUAUAUAUAGUUUAGGGGUUAGGAUGUUGACCGUUUACUUGUUUUCAAACAAGAGGGGGUGGGGUGACCCCGUAGGGACUUUCCUCUUAUUUCAUUUCAUUUGUUUUAUUGUCCCCUACAAGAAUAUAUAUGGUUUAGGGGUGGGGAUCUGGACCAUUUACAAGGUAAUAGUACUUCUCAAAUUGACGGAUGGGGUGACCCCAGGAACUUCCAUUUAAUUUCAUUUGAUUAGUUUUAUUGUCCCUUCCAAGAAUAUAUAUAGUUUAGGGUUGGGAUGUUGACCGUUUACAAGUUUUCAAACAAGAGGGGGUGGGGUGACCCCUGGGACUUUCCUUUUAUUUCAUUUCAUUUGUUUUUGUUGUCCCUACAAGAAUAUAUAUGGUUUAGGGUCGGGGAUCUGAACCGUUUACAAGAUAAGAGCACAUUCUUAAAUUGAACCGGGUGGAGAUGACCCUCGGGGACUUCCAUUUAAUUUCAUUUGAUUUGUUUUAUCGUCCCAUGCAAGAAUAUAUAUGGUUUAGGGGUGGGGAUCCGGACCGUUUACAAGAUAAUAGUACAUUUUCAAUUGAACGGGAAUGGGGGUGACCCCAGGAAUUUUAUUUUUUCAUUUGAUUAGUUUUAUUGUCCCAUACAAGAAUAUAUGGUUUAGGGGUGGGGAUCUGGACCGUUUACAAGUUAAAAGCAUAUUCUCGAAUGGAAGGGGGUAGGGAUGACCCCCAGGUAAUGAAAAGGUCAAGGUCAACCUUAAAAAGCUUUAAAACACACUGAAAAUCUUUAAAAUAAGGUCAAAAACACAAAAUUCGCUAUAUGGGACAUGACCUUGACCUUUUACCUUUUGACCUUUGUCAAAGUCAUUAUUCCCCAAUGUCAUUGCUGAAGACCCCAUGGGUCUAGGACCUUUGGUUAUAUAGUAUAAGCUGAUUUUGUCGUUUCAGAAACCUAAAUCAGGGGUUAUCCCCUUACAGAAAGGUCAAAUCUCUUCUCAAAUGUAACAAAGUUGCGCCCUAAUGACCCAAACAUUUUCCACUAUUCAAAACCUCUGUAAGUAUAUUGGUUUCUGAGAUUAUCCCAUAACAAGGUGUUAGGUCAAAGGUCAAGGUCAACAUACACAUUUGACCUUGAAGUAUUUUUCAAAGUCACAUAAAUUGAUGAUGAAUGGUGAAGAUCCUAGGUGUUUACGAUUUACGGUUUCUGAGUUUUGGUGGCAAACCGACACCGGUUAAUUUUCAUAGGGGCAUAACCCUACCAAUGAGUCGUUGAAUCUUUUCGAUCCAAAUGUAAUGAAUAAGAUCUAACCAUUUUUAACUCAUGCUGUGGGUAUAACUUCAAAAUAGGUAAUGAUAUUAGACAGGUAUUCCAUAACACUUUUCAGGGGUUACACAACAUUUUGGAUUGGGACGCUUGUCAUAAAAUGAUUUUUAAUAUGAUAUGUUGUCGAAAUGGAAUAUUAAUAUAAGAAUAUUCAGAAAAGAAUAUCUAUUUGUUUGUGGUUUUUAUAUAAAAAAAUAACAAUGUUAUAUUUAUCAGACGAACAUUCUUUCAAAUAUGUCAUCAGUGUUCGUUGAUCCUCAAUAGCUUUUUUGUCUUGUUCUUCCGAUAGUAUUAUGUCCAACCACGGAAUUUUUCAUCUUAUCGUUCUAUGACUAAACAACUAAACUUUCUUCUGCACUCUCAUUCAAAAGAUUCACUUUAGCAUUAAAAAAUAUGGUAAGACGAGGGCUACUGAUAAUUGUAAUUAGAUGUUAAUAAACAGUGGAUACAAAAUUAAGUAAAAACCUUAUAGUCCUAGCGAUAUUAUUUUAAGAACGCAAGAGCAAGAUCAUUCUUUUUUACAUCUGUACUUAAUACAUUUUUCUCAAUUCUAUCCGAUUUUAUCAUAUAUUUAUCGCAGCAAUGAAAGUUCUCCACAUCAUAUUUUCAUACAUCGAGUGUUUUUAAUAGAUUUUGAUUUUUGAAUGGCGUUAUAAAUUAGUACAUAGAAUAAUGGCAUUCAGGAUUGGUAAAUGUUUAUGAAACUUAAAUUGCCAACCAUUCAUUAUAUGUAGACCUCUUUUACAAGAUGUAUUGUACUGCACAAUAAAAGUGCAAUUGUGACAAAUAGUUUGUCAUUAAAAGAAUCUUAAUAACCUUAAAUCAUGUCUGACUAAGCAAGGAAACGUCCCAUCGAUCUUUGAUUACUAUGAUUACGAUGUAAUCAGAAAACGUGCAGGUGUAAGGAAGUUUUAAAUUCAUGUUUAAAAAUCACCUUCUUCAAUAUGUCUAUUACAUACUUAGAGAUGAGCUAACUGAUAAAAAUGCUCAAUAUUUUGAAAAGAAUAGAGAUACACCUCCUGCUAAAGAGAAUUAAGGUUAACCUAUUGUUCAAAUACAUAUCACUUUCUGUGUUCAUGCAAACAAAUUUUAGUUUUUGUGAAAAAAAGUACGAAAAAAGGCUGAUUUAUUUUUUUAUAGUAAACGUGAUUGUUAUUUUUAUUUUAUUUAUAUCUUAUACUUAAUUCAUUUAUAGACGGAUAAUAUCAAUAUGAACGUUUAAAAAGCAUAUUGCAUUUCUGCUAAUACAGAGAUGAUUAUUUUACAAUCAAAAUACUCUCGAGUUUUAAACACCGUCGUUAUAUAAUACAUUUUGUACCUUAGUUUUACCUUGAAUUGAUUUGUAUCAGUUGAAUAUUGGUAAAAGAAAAAUGGCGGUAUGUGUAAUGCCGGACGAAGAUGUUGUAGAUGAGUCACAGAAGAAAUAGGGUUUAUACUCUGGAUUCAUUAAUUUUCGUGGAUUGCUGGAAAUUGCAAAUUUUUGGAUAUUUGAUUUCGUGGAUCGUUGAAAAUUGCAUAUUCUUGGAUAUUUGAUUUCGUGGUUUUGCUAAUCUCUGUAUACAAAGCCUAUUUAAAAUAUGUUAUUGUUUUAACAUUUAAAUUUCAUGGUUCAUAUGUAUCCACAAAACCCACAAAAAUUGUUAUCCAACGAAUAAUAAUGAAUCCACAGUACGUGUAUACUUUUUCUUAGUUUAACUAUUAGUUUUCCUUCAAUCUAUCCGUCACUGCCAAUUGAUAAAUCAUGUAAGCACAACUCCUCAUGCUAAACUUUUGAGCUUUCAGUGAAUGAUCAAUCAAACUUUAAGACGAUAUAAACAACUGUUCGAUAUUUUGUCACAUCGUAUAUUACAUAUAUGUCACUUAGCACGAAAGGUGGUUUGAUUGACAGGUAAUCUUAAUCUGAUAAGUUGAUGCAUUCUAGUGGCAUAUAUGACUAAUGUAAAAUGACAUGUCCUUACUAUUGUUCAUAUAGACGCUCUAUUAUAUAGAUAAAUGAAUACAAAGCAAGUGCAAAAUAUGAUGUAUAGAUAUCGAGAAAAACAUCCUGUCCAGGGAAAGAUAAAAUCUCUUGUUCAUGUAAAAACAUAAACUUUUGUUUAAAAUGCAUGCAAACAAAUAUCAAACAAUAAACCCGAAACUUGCGUUUGAAGAUAAAUCAGUUUGUUUGAGUCCGGGGUAUGAUAGCAUCGUCUGGGAUUUCUAUAUGUAUACUUAUCAACGUUGUCAGUUUAAGAGUUCCUUUACGUUGAAAAUGAAAAACAAUCUACAUUUGAUUUUACGUAGAAUACAAUACAGUGUUUUGCUAUGCGUUGAAAGGUUACACAUACCGGCAUUUUGAUGUGAAAAGAAUAUACAGGUGAAAACUGAUGUUUGUUUUAUCUUACAAAUAAAGUCAUUCCCAAAGAUUCGAAGCAAAAAUCAACACAUGCAUACGUAUUCACUCCGCGUUUCUUUCUUUGUAAGUGUCAAAUGUAGUAGCGGUCAGAAAGCAGGGUCAUUAUAUAUCAUACAUAUAAAUACAAUCGUUAUGAUUAAUAGUUUUUAUUUCCCAAUGAAAGAUAUGAAUUUGUUGAUAUUCUUAAAAACACGUUUUACCCUCUUUAGAGGACACAAAUAGUAAAAUAAUAAAAAUACUGAACUCUGAGAAAAAUUUAAAAACGGAAAGUCCCUGAACAAAUGACAAAAUCAAAAGUUUAACUACAUCGAUCAAUGGUAACUGUCUAAUCCCUGCCUUAUUCAAUAGGCAUUUCUAAUAUAUAAAAUGGGGGUAUUAAAACUAAUUUAAUAACUAGCUAAACCUCUCACAUGUAUGAACGUCGUAUUUAAAUCCAUUAUAUAAACAACAAUUAAUGUCCAACGGAACAAACAGACAGGUUAUACGUACUAUUGCGAAAAUAUGGAUACAGCAUUCAACUUUGUGUUAUAAUCUUAAUCACAAUAAAACAAAUAUGUCGAAAAAGAAAAAGAAAAUGACAUGGGUACAGUGAUUGUUCAAAUACCUGUCAACAUUAUUCUCACAAAUUCUGUAUUAAUAAAAUUCCAGUCUGGUUUUAUCCUUGAUGGGUCUACGGCUAGCCAACUUCUAUGUAUGAUUAUCGAUUUGUACUUGAGCAUUAGACGCAGGGAAAGAGAUAAGGGUAAUUGUUCUAUUAAAUACGUCCAUUAUUCAACCGAGUUUAGCAUAAAGGCUUACUUUAUAAGCAUUGAAAAAAAAAAUGAAUUAAUGGAGGUUUGCUACUUAGGUUUGAAAGCGAUUUGAACCCACGAUGAUAACAAGUUGUCAUUGGUGAAGAAACGAACAACAGCUGGCGUAACCUAAAUGAUCAUAUUUUACUCUUAUUUAUAUAUAUAAAAAAUGACAAUCAAUGAUAUAGAAUGUGAUGUUUAACUUUUUUCUUAAGAAAUUAAAUUUAUAAAGUGGUUGAUAACGAAUAUGAUUCGUCAGAAAAGCUACAUGAUAUUAAGAACAUAUUACAUAGUUUGUCUAAUCAAUGCCUUGAACCCAAACAAAACUAAAAAAAUGAUCUUUUAAAAAGAGCACCAUAAAUCUCAUCACCCACCAGUAUAUAUGAAUAAAAAAUAUCAACCAUUAAAGAAGGUAAGUCUCACAGGAAUUUAGGAAUAAAUGAAGAUGGAAGCUGGAAUUAUUAUGUAAAAAUGAUUAUUGAUAAAUCUAUUCCAUGAUUAGCAUUAUUCAGAAAACUGAAAAGGAAGAAUUUAGAAACUAUAUAUCUAUUUUUUUUUUACGCAAAGUCUUAAAAUAUGAUGAUAUUGUCAGGGAUAAUAGUCCUGUUAAUUUAAAAACAUCUUUGGAAAAUUUGCAACUUUUAGCAGCAAGAAUUGUCCCAGAUAGCCAUAAGAUAACAUAGAGACAGUUGCUGAACGAUGAAACAGGACUGGAAAGUCUCCAGUCUCGACGUAGUAAUCAUAACUUGUUAAAAUGUCACCAAAUUUUUCACAGUGAUUGUCAUACUAAUCUUUUUCUCUUAGGUCCAAAUCAGAGGCUAAAUCUACAUUAAUACAGGACUAAGAGUCUCAAAAUUUACAAACUAAAUCAUGCAGAACAAGUUAUUACCAGAAGUCAUUUCUACCAGCCGUUAGCAACCUUUCAAAUGAUAUUCUAGACGACAAUCAUUUAAAUCAAUCAAAGUCGGGUUUUACGACGUAUCUCAUUCAAAGGCUGUAGAAAAGAACAGAUUUGUUUAGCAAUUUUAAGACAAAGACUUCAGAGUAGUGUUCUUUGUGACAAUCUAUUUUAAAAACAACAUACCGAAUAUACACUGCGUUCCUGUGGUCACGUAUAAACUACUGAUUACUUGUCCAGAAUAUAAUGCAAUUCGGGACAGUCUAUUGUAUUAGUCUUAAGUUCAUCUUAUAUGGAAACAGUUUAAAGUCUGAAGCGAACAACAUGCAAAUUUAAUAAAGUUUGAGUAUAAAUUAAUCCAACCGUUUGGAAAAUUGAACUUGUGUGUUUCUAUAUUUAUUGAUAAUAAAUCGAAUAGACAGCCCGUAAUCGAUUAUGAUCGGACAUUUGUGGUCGUUCUGGUUGAACGUAAAAAUUUACUGUUUUCUUCUUUUUGUUAAUUUUGGGUCUAUCAUGUUUAUGGUAUUUAUAAAGGAAAAUUUCGUAAAAAUACCUACAAAGUUACAUAUAUAUUAUGAAAAAAGUAAUUAUAAUAUGACAGAUUCGGUUUUUUUAAAGUUUAUAAUACUAUUAAAUUGAAACAAUCAACAUUUAUAUUCUUUCCAAAUCCACCAGUUCCUAUUCAGUUCUCCGAAUUACAUAUAAGAAAACUAUGUAUGACCUUUAUCUAUGACUAAUCUAUGUAUGAAAGACACCCAUCUUCGGUAUCCUGAUUGAUCUGAAUAGACAAUACAAAAAAGGCAACAGUAGUAUACAGUAGUAACUCAUAAAUCCAUGGACAAAAAACAAAAUCGGGGUAACAAACUAAAACCGAGGGAAACGCAUUAAAUAUAAGAGGAGAACAACGACACAACACUACAAUGUAACACACACAGAAACGGACCAAGCAUCAGACAAAAUCCCACGAGAAUAACACAUAUAACAUCAAAACCAAAUACAUGAAUUUGGGAUAGACAAGUACCGUGACACGUCUUAUCGCAAUGUUAAUUUACACUCAAAAAUAAGUUAAAAUGUAACACACACAGAAACGAACUAUAAUAUAACAAUGGCCAUAUUCCUGACUUGGUACAGGACAUUUUUACAAUGUUAUCGUUCCUUGAUCAAAGGUAGGUGUCGCUUCGUUACUAUAUUAUGGAGAUGCAGAAAAAAGAGAAUACAUUGAAUGGAAUAAUUUCUAAGGAAAGAGGUUCGAAAGGUAUGUUUGAUUUUUAACUUUACAUCUCGAUAAGAUAUGAAAAAUCAUGUAUUAAUUUUUAUUGCGUGACAAUAACUUGAAAUACUUUAUAAACACACAAGCUUUUAAUUUCAAUAGAAUAUUUAAACAUUUACUGUAAAAGGGAGAUUUUUUUAAGGGAUAUAGUUUGUGUUUUGCGAUCACAGGCAGAAAAAAAGUGAACAUUUUACGCACUUGAAAUCAGUAAGAUAAUUAUGUCGAUAAACAAAGUUAAAGUACAAAUGUUAAUAAUUAGAAAAUGCGGUUAUAACACUGAUUACAAAUAAUUUCAAACUAAAAUAUUAAACUUGAAAGUUCAUCUAACAGUUUUUAUUAUUACUUUAUAUAUAGGCACUUUAUACAAAUAUGUCUGCCUAUAUGAAGUGAUUACUGCAUUUUAUACCUUGUCAAUUGGAUUUCUCAUGAUUGUGAAAUACUUAACGUUUGAAUAUGUAUUAAGUGUCUAGAAAUCAACUAUACGAAGUUAAAAGUAGAUAUGAUUACUUUCUUUCUCCCCGACAAGGACUGAAACCUGUACUUUACAUAACCAAUGUCCGUGUCAUACACUACUCUUUGGACUGUUCCCCAUAUUGUAAGCAUGAUUCAAUUUACUAAAAUCAACGAAUUUUAAUCAAUCAUGCCUAUCCAGUCUCAAUUGUCACAGAAACAGGUCAUGUAAACUAAUGUAUCUGUGUUUAUAAAAGCAAAGUUGAAAUUGUUAUUCAUUACACAAGUGCUUGAAUUAUUUUAUAUUCUAAUAUGACGUGUUUCUUUCGCUUUGUAAACAACACCGUGUGAAAAUUCUCGAUAUAUCUAUACUUAGCGCAGACUCAGAAAUAUACAUAAUGAAGGAUGUUACAAUAUACCUCCCACGUAAAUCCACAUGUAUUUGAACCUAUUUGUAAACGCAUUGCCGAUUUUAUUGAAUUAGAAAUUGUAAAAAAACAAAAGACAAAAGAACUUUUAUUCUUAUUCGGAUGCAUUAUAAAAAGAAUUAGUAUACUGCAACUAGUUGUGUUUAUUUCCUAAAUAUAGUAAAACAGCUAUAUUUUGUGCAAUGUCAUUUUCAUCAUGGAACACUUUCUCCACAACCCGGGGUUCAUUAAGGGAUGGAAAUAAGCUUGAUAUUUAUGUUACGAUUUUAAAAGCUAUCAAUCAUAUACUAACUGAAGUUGCAGUAUAAAAAAAUAUAUAUUUUUUUGUAACCAUCGAAGUUCGUAUAAUAUUGUAUUAAAAUGGAAUUGAGGUAGGUUUUGUUUUAUUUUCUAUUCUAUUGCAUGAUUCGCAUAUUAACUGAUUUCAGCGAGUCAACAUGGCAGCUCCUUCGUUACGAAAUGUCAAUUUUGGUUUUGACGGUAGCGUACGAGGAAACAUGUAAAUUAAAAAUCGCAAAUAUUGGGUUUGAGAAUUAAACAUAUUUUUUCUAGCGGUUAUAAACGAAAUAAUCAAUGCAAGCUAAAGAUUUCUGAGAAUAUUUGAGUUUUAUCUAACAAGGAGUAAAAAAGAACAGCUACACACACGGCAUACCCAUCCUCGAUUCAGUAUUUGAAUGAACUUAUUUGUCCUAUUAGAAUCGAAAUAAGUCAUGGAAGCCAUAGAUUUGUUGUAAAUUUACACAGGCCUGGGCCGUAAUAUCGAAAUUUAUCCUGAGCGUUUGCGAGGGAUAAAAUUAACGAAUAUCACGGCCCAGGCCAUGUGUAAAUUUACAACAAAUCUAUGGCUUCCAUGAAUUAUUUCUUAAAUAUUGCCUAGAUUUUUGCAAAGUAUGUGCGCCGUUCUUAAAUUGUUAACGUUAAAUGUUGUUUUGUUCGGAUUUGCCAAAGUAACUGACAUUCAAACGUGUUUACUGCAUAUAUUUUUGUGUGAUAUUUGUUCAUGAUUUUCUAAAUAUCACACUUACAAAGUAUUGUGAUUUACUCAUGACAAAUAAAUUUUACAAAAAUUAAAUCGAUUUUUGAAAAGCUUUUCAGAAACUCGUUACAAUUGAUCCCUUUAUGUGCACGUAUCUUUGCAAGAAAAAUUAUUACAUCAUAAGAUAAAAAAUGUUUGGUUUGUUACUGAUUUUUUAACUGUUUUGAUCACCGGAGCGAUUUUUAGCUAAUGUAAACUCAAUAUAGGUAUUUUAGAAACAAAUGAAGCAGUUGUUCUGUUAUUCAUUUUGUGGCAAUAUUUGGAAACAGACUAAAAUGCAAUAUCUUUGAUAUCAUCAUGUAUAUAAUCUUGACGUCACAAAUCUACGCACUGACAUUUGUUUAAGUUAUGACUUAGUAAGUACACUUUAAAUAUAUGCCUUGAUAAUUUCAUGAAAUGUUUUUAAAAGAGUAUAUAUUUCAUAUCAAAAGUUACAGUCUUGUUUGGUAUAUAUGUCAGAACGUGUUCUUACUUUUGCUCCCAAUUACUGAGCAUUACAGGGUUAUGGUAUCACUGAAGAAAAAGUAAUUGUUGAAAUGCGCAUCUGGUGUGGAAUAGUGGUAUACGUAAUAUUAUAAAUUGACACAGACCGCCAUAUAGUCAGUAGGGCUAAAAGAUGCGUCAAACACCAAACAAUCAAUCAACAAAUAAAACUACAAAAUCAUCAUAAAACUAAAGUCAAUAGGUCAAAUGGUUAUAAAAAGGUAAAAGUUUUCAAAGUCUGUCUCUAUUUCUCAAAUUGAAAAUGUAAAGCAGGUCCGUGAAAGGAGAUACCAACUAUGUAACUGCUAAUUGAUUAUUAGUAUAUUUUGCCUUUAAAGAGUUUUAUGGUUGAUGUGACAUAUUUAGAGGUAGCCUGAUAAUUUUUCUUGUUAAGUUGAUUGGAAAAUUCAUUCUGGUAAUGAUAAGGUCGUUGAACAAAUCCAUAGCUUGUUUCUAUUGUUAUUCAUUCUUUCCCCUUUACCCCUGUGUACAUUUAACUGUCGCAAAUACAAUGAUAUGUAGAAAGAAGAGGAUGUGGUAUGAGUGCGUAUGAGACAACUCAGUGUUUAACAAUACAAACAGGAAAACCAACAUUCUAAUUUAAAUGAAAAAGAGAAGAGAAGCACGUCAACAAACGACAACAACGGAACAACAUGUUUAUUAAUUGAUCUGUGUUUGUACAUUCAAACUAUAAAUUUCACUGAGUUUUUGUCACUGCCUUGUAUUUCAGAAUGAAGAUGAUGUACUAUAUCGUAGCAGCUUGUCUACUUGUCAUCACAGUUUCAAAUGCCAUGGUAAUAUCAUGUCCCAGCGAUUGUUCCUGCUACACAAAAAGCUUUCGGGUUCAUGUUGAUUGCUAUAUGAGAGGACUGACUGGUAUUCCACGAAACUUUCCAAAUGACUCAUACUACAUGUAAUAUGAAGUUUUUUCUCCUUUAUUUACCAGUAAUUGUUUUUGAGUAAUAUUUCAAUACUCAUGAAUUGAUAAUCAUUUGUAAAAACACUAAGUAGUGGGAGAGAAAAAGAUAUACAACACCAUGACAUAUAGAAACAGUCGUCGUCAAAAUGCUUAACAGAAAAGAUAUGUAAAAGGAGUUUUGGAAUAAAAAUAAUAAAAUUAACGGUACCAAUUUUCUUGCACCAGAUGCGCAUUUCGACAAUACAUGUCUCUUCAGUGAUGCUCGUUGCCAAAAUAUUUGAAAUCCAAAGCUUAUAUAAAAGAUGAAGAGCUAUAAUCCAAAAGGUCCAAAAAGUAUAGCCAAAUCCGUGAAAGGAACCAGAGCUUUGCAUGAGGGAGAUACAUUCCUUAAUUUAUAAUAAUUUCUAUCAUUUUGUAACAGUAAAUUUUAAUAACACAAGCAAUCCGUAUUUUCAUGCCAGUACCGAAGUACUGGCUACUGGGGUGGUGAUACCCUCGGGGACUAUUAGUCCACCAGCAGAGGCAUCGACCCAGUGGUAGUAAUAAAAUUAACAGACAAACGUAAAGUUGCAACAAGACUGUUACAGUUCUAUUUAUUUGUUUUUAUUGCUUUUUACAAUACAAUAUUUGAUUUUUACCCCUGUCAACAAAUGACAUUUAUAAACGUCUCCUACCGAUGAGUUGUUCUACUCCGCAAUACAAAUGUCAAAUGCAUUUGUAUAUCAAAUAAUUGACUAUGCGUAAAAUACACUAACAAAAAUGCCGAUCUUCAAGAAAAAUUCAAAACGGAAAAUCUCAUAUCAAAUGGCAAAAUCAAACAUGCUAAAUUAAUGAAAACAACUAUAGUCAUGACUUCAAAAAUUCCCUUAUAUAAAGAAAAGGUUUAUUUAACCUGAUUUUUUAAUUAUCUAAACCUCUCACCCGUAUGACAAUCUCAUUGUUAAUCUUACUAGGACAGUGGUAAUCUAUUGAUGGCUACAUUAUCACCCUUUAUUACUUGCAAAGUUAAAAACAUAUGUUAAUUGCCUCUUUAACCAAUGAAAAUAACUGAAUAUACAUUGAGAAUACCUGUUUAAUGUCUUAAGGUGUUACAAUGUAGCUUUAUAUGUACGGGGCUACGGAACAGAUGAUGAGCGACCUUCAAUGAGCUAUUACCCAUAUUUUGACUAUUUUAUUUAUUGUGUCUGUUUAGUUUACGCAUCAUUGUAAAUAUAACGGAAUUUGAUGAGACUGUCAUCAAAGUGAGAGGGUAGCGCCCAUAAAACCAGUUUAAACCAAUUUUCUAAAUUUGAAAAUGGCUGUACAAGUCAGGAAUAUGACAGUUGUCCAUCGUUUGAUGCGUUUUGUUUUUCGAUUUGCCAUGUGAUUAUGACUUUCCGAAUUGAUUUUCCUCUAAGUUCAGUAUUUUUGUGAUUUUACUUUUUACUCCUGUUUCGAACCGAGUACAAAUACAGGUACUAAACAGUUUUUGUGUUUAUUUUGUAAUAAAUUGUGUACAUUGUUUUUACUUUGAAAGAAACAAAAUCACAUUUAUUGCAUUUAUUUUCGAUUUAAACCCUUUGAGGCCGCUUAAUAAUAUAAAAAAAAAAAUGAUGACCAGCACGCCGAAAAUAAUAUCGCAUGGUCAGCAAUAAUAUAUAACUUAAAGUUGGUAAUUAUUCAUUAUAACUUAACAACUUAUUCAAACAGUAAUGAGAAACAAAAUAAUAGUGUCCGGUAAAGACAAAAGUGUUUGAUUUGUUCAACGCUAUAUUCACAGAUUGUUGAUUUUGUUGCAUGGUUGAUUCUGUGAUUAACACAUUCAAGCUUUGAACUUUGACACUUUAAAAUAUACUUUUAAGUAAACAGCUAAAUAAUAGUGAGUGUCUAAAUGCAUCAUGUAAAAUACGCUGCAAUAGUUUCUAUAAUACAGACGAAUUGCCAAUCUAUCGUUACAGAUCAUUGGACUACAAUAAAAUAAUUGCAAUACAGCAAGGGGCGUUUAAAGACCUACCAGAACUAGAAUAUAUGUAUGUAUACAGUUUGACUGCAAUUUCGUUCGGAAGCCUUUUUAAAAAGAAUCGUAUAAUAGGGAUACACAACAUCCACGCGUUUCAAACUCAAUCUAAAUUCCGGUAGCAAAAUAUCUUAUUUGGAAGACUACAUAUACAUACUAUUAGUAUUGUAUUGCAAUUAUAUUACACAAUAUUGAUUACAUGAUGCUAGUAUUACUAGACUUGCAGUUUUAUUACAUUAAUCCGGCACUAAUUUAGUGUUUAGGCAGUUUUUGCCAUAUACUAUUGAUAACAUUUCGCGACGUCGCUUUAAAAGAAGUCAUAUUUCGCGGAAUAUUCACUGGCGUCAUUAAUUUCGUUUCGCGAAUUUAAAAAAGUACCUGCUAAAUAAAGUGGCCUUUUUAAAAGACGAGAAAUCCGCCGAAAACAGUGAGAUUAAAGGAAUACUUGAGAUGAACAAAAAAUAAAUCAAAUACAAUUUUGCAUAACGAAAUUGAAGAAAUAGUGAUAGACACAGAAGAGAGUAUUGACAGUAUAACAUGGAAAGACGGAAGAAGAAUUGUGGAACUUUAAUUUUAGUCUGGUACUGAAUAACUGUCAAAACUGCACGGCCCAGCUGAAUCUGCUCAACGUAGAGAAAGAAAAAUUGCAAGGAAUCGGGUCUAUCUUACUAUUCGUUGCUUAAAAUGUACAUGCUGAAAAACAUUUUACCAAUAAACACAAUUCGGAACAAAACGACCUGCAAUAGCUAAUUAUGAUAUUGGUACUGCUUAACGUCCAGGCGCAAAUAUUUAAUUCACAUUUAUGACAUCCAAAUGUUUUUUAAUGAAACUUAAAGAAAUGAGAAAAACGUAUGAACCUGUGAUUAAUGAGAAAAAAUUAACAAAAUCUUACCGGCGUAGGGUGGCCAAUCGGUCAGGUGUUGAAAUCCAUACACAAAAAGUAUUAUAGGCGUUGUUGUACAGCUGUGCAUAUUUUCAUAACGAGAACAGUUAUUUUAAUUAUUGAUAAUGAAUUCGAAGUAAAUAAUACUAUCUUGAAUUGAAAAACAUCAGAAUCAAAAUAAUUAAGUUUGUGUCUUUAUUUUUCUUUUCUUGUUAAGCAUUUGCAGCCUCCAAAUUUUACGGAGAAUUGUCAUUGUAAGCAAAUUUAUCAGACUAUCAAUGAAAUAACAAAACGACUUCAUGUGCGAGACCUCAUUGGUGGACAAGUCGUAUAACACCCCUAUUCGUAAAUAAAAUAAAAAUAAAGAGAGUGUCUCAUCUGUUUGGACUUGCCGAUUCUAAUUGAUAUUUAAAAACACAUAAUAAUGUAUUGUGUAUGUAGAAAAACUGUCAAUAAUAGUUCGUUAAAAAGAUUUCAAAAAAAUAUAUUGGUGUCGUUUUUGGUUUGAAUUUAAGCAAAAUAGUACCAAUAGAUGCAGAAUUGUCACACGUAGUUGUUAAUUGGUUGUAUUUUUUUGUAUAUGAAACAAAUGUUAUAGACCAAAACAAGAAAACCCCGUACAUGUACAUGCUGUUAAAAGGGCUUGUAAUUAAAUGUGUCUUUUGAUUGUUCAUCAUAUUUGUAUUUUGUUUAUGUUUUGUACUAAAUCAGCCGUAAGUUUCCCGUUGAUGUUUUGCAUUUGUCAUGUAGGGGCCGCUUUCAUAGCUUACUACAUGUAUGUGGUAUGGGUUUUACUCAUUCAGCAGUCAGGGCCGUAGCGUAAUGGAGGCAACUGAGGCAAAUGCCUCACUUUUAAAACGACGACCAAACUUUAGAAGUUCAUUUUUUUCAAUUAUGUAUUUUACAUUAUCAAUUCGAGUUUCGAGUUUAAAUAAUCACCGUCACACAAAUACAGUGUAUCCAAUCUGCAGCACGUGCAGCUUUUACAUAGCGGUGACGGUAAAAAAAGUGUUCCGAAUACAAAUCAAAAUACAAAAAAUCAAAAAAUCUAAUGUCGUUACAACUGGUAAGACGAGUUCUUUAAAGAGAAAAAAAAGUGAACAGGGUAUCAUGAGUAUUAACACCGCUUAUAAGUAUGCUGGCUUAUUCUUGUUAUUUUGAAUCGAUAACGCUAUAGUUAACCAAUGUCUACACUUUCAACUCACUGAACAACAAAUGCUAAUCGAUAAAAAUAUUCAUUGACAAAAUUUAUAAUUAUUAUAUUAAUUUAAACAAAGUCAUGAAGCGACUUUUCUAUGGAAGUUUUACUGUAUAAGGCAAUUCAUAUUUUUUAUUUAUUUUUAAUAAAGUAUAAAUUAUAUAUUUUGGUAAUUGUUUGAAAAUAUUUUUUUCGUGUUUCUUUUUCUGAUUAUAUCAGCAUGUUGUUGUAUGCUAGCCGUGUUCCAUUGAUUCUAGUGCGGUAGGCCGUGGGUUCGAACCCCGGUAGGUCGAACCAAUGACUUGAAAAUUGGUAGAAUAAUGUGUCAAGAACUCUACGUAGGUGACAUGUUUUCCAGCGAAUGUUUACAGGGCUGAUUUCAAUAUCGUAGCCCCCCCCCCAAGGUUGACUGGGAAUAGAAAUAUGGUCACUUGGUCUUCUCCCGACCGGUCGUAAAACCUGCCGAAGUAGGCGCCGUUUGGCUUGUGGAUGUAUCAAGUUCGCAGUCACGUCCGUCAGAAUGGGACGUUAAUCCGAUGCCUCGUGUAAAGAGAGUGCCACGCUCUUUGUACGUUAAGAGCCCUUGCAACAACUCUUUGAGGGGUCCGCAGGUGGCCUGUUGCAAGGCAAAAUUUCUGUUCUAUCCAAUAUACACUCAUUUUCCGGUGAGUUCAAAUCUGACCAUCACCCCAGAUGGCCUUAUGUGAUAACCUACCUAUUGUAUUUAUUGUGAAUUUGUUCUCGCCUGAAAUGCAUGAAAUAUUUGCCACUGGACGUUAAGCAACCAACAAUCAAUCAAUUAAUAUCGUAGCAGCUACAUAGUUGCUAUCAAUAUCUAUGUAGAAGCUAGUCUAUAGCUACACGUUUAAUAGUCAAAAUCUACGUAGCACUACGCAGCAGCUACGAUAUUCAACACAACCCUGGUAACUUGUGAUAUUAGUACGUCAAAAAUAUGGUUAAGUAACAAUGUUGGUCCAGUCUUCUCUGUAUACGCCGUAAAAAAGGCUAUGCAACUUAUCUAUUGAUAAAGACAUCGUUCAAUAUUAUUCUCUUAUACCGGCUGCUGUACUUCCUAUGAAAUAUUAUAUUACAACUUCUUUUUCGGUCGAUUGAGGCAAUAAUGGCAUGAGUUAAAUUGCACGAAACAGCUCUUAUUAUAAAACAAGAAGUACUGCUUAUAAUUCAAAUUUCGGAAAGAUGAUUAUCUUUUGAAUGUUAAAAAAAAAUCAAAGGAUACGGUAACGGUUUUGUCAUUGUUGAAGGUUAUACUGUUGUCAAUUUAUGGUAUCGCCUCACUUAAUUUAUAGUUGGUUCACAUUUUGUCAUGUCAAUAAUGUUGUCUGAUUCCUCUUACAGUAUACAUGAAGCAAUUUAGAACUAAUGUAGGACGGCGAUGCACCUUUAUACUUCUAUCAGAUUUUGUUUUUUGCCGUACAUCUGACAAAGCAAUCUGCUAGAAUCCUUUUUUAUAGUCUUUUGUUUUUAUCAUGAAAAGGUUCCUGUCCAAAUUUCGUUUCGUAAAUGUUUAACACAAAUGUUUUUCCAUUUUAUGAUUAACCAUCUUAUAAAUUUUUAUGAUAAGUAUCAACGCUUUGAAAAACACCUGCAUAUACUUGACAGCGAACUCGUGUACGGCGGGAAUGAUUACACCACGUUGUUGCGAUUAAAACUUAAUCUAACGUAAUUUAGCGCCAUACUGACAGACGUCGUAAAACAUUAAGGUAUAUGGCUAUUCUUGAAAAAACAAGCACAUGGACCCCAUUUUUUUUUCUUUUGCAAUCAAUCAAGUACUGUUUCAAGAACACUCCGCCAAAAUUUCAGGAAAAAAUCAACGAUCAAAUUUUUUCUGCACUUUCGAAAAGACGCAAAAAUAUGGUCAAUUUCUUUAUUUCGGAUAUAGCAUUCUAAAUCCGGAACAUGAUGAUUUGAUUUAACCUUAAACUUGUUUCAACAUGUUGAUGCCAUGGAUCAAGGGAAUAUUUUACAAAAAACCCGGUUAAGUUAUGACUUUUCGUUCAAAAGUAUUGUUACUUUCUUUAAAGUCAUAAUUUAUGAAAUUUCAGGAUUUUCUUCCAAAUAUGCAAAUUUCGAACCAAAUUUUCUCAAAAAGUAAGUCAUGAAGGUACUUUUUUCUUUGCAUAUUUGAAAAGUACACAUUAAAAUUUUACCUUCUAAAAAAAAUUAAAGAAAAAAUCAACGAGGGAUCUCUACUGUAUCGUAUGCCCUUAAAUCAAAUCUAUCACAUGAUAAUGCUUCAUUUAUGUACUGUUCGAUUUCAAUCUCUUUGUAGUCUCUUUCUAUAAAGUUAUUUGUUGUUCUAAUGUAUCUGAUAACUUCGCUCUUGAGAAAACAUGCAAAUGCAUGUGGACUGUGACAGCUUUUACGAUGUAAUACGUUAUAUUACAAAAAUACUGAACUCCGAUGAAAAUUUAAAACGGAAUGAUCCCUAAUCAAAUGGCAAAGUCAAAAGCUGAAACACAUUACACGAAUAGAUAACAACUUUCUUAUUCCUGACUUGGUACAGGCAUUUUCUGAUGAAGAAAAUGGUGGAUUGAACCUGGUUUUAUAGCGCUUAACCUCUCAUUUGUACGACAGUUGCAUCAAAUUCCGUUAUAUUUACAACGAUGUAUAAUUCGCUAGGUCACAUUCGUAAAAAGGGAACGGGAUUAUAGUUACGAUAUGAGGAACAUAUCCGAUAUCAUCUGUAUAAAGGAUAUUCCAUAACGGUAAACCAUGAGGUGAUGAUUUCAACAACACCAUUUGGAACUCCUGUUUUAAAAAUAAAAAUGUCUCAAUUGGGAAGAUGAAAUCACCCAUUUUGUCGUAAAGUAUUCGACCGAUCCUCAUAGUCAAUUUCUACAUAUAAGUCCUAAUCUAAUGGCAAAACUAAAAGCCCAUACACAUCAAACGAAUGAAUAACAACUGUUAUAAUACAUUUUCUUACGUAGAAAAUGGUGAAUUAAACCUGGUUUCAUAGCCCUUAACCUCUCACAUCGUUGUAAAUAUAACAGAAUUUGAUGAGACUGUGGUAUACGUGAGAGUUUUAGCGCUAUAAAACCAGGUUUGAUCCACCAUUUUCUACAUUUGAAAAUGCCUGUAUUAAGUCAGGUAUAUGACAAUUGUUUUCCAUUCGUUUGAUGUGUUUUGUCGUACUAAAUUAUAAUUCUGGUACUUUUGGAUAAAUAUAUUGUCAUUUGAUUUUGCAAUGUACAAUGUAAUUAGGGACUUUCCGAUUAAAUUUCCCCCGGAGUUCAGUAUUUUUGUGAUUUUACUUUUUAUAUGCAGCCGCAUCACAAUCCAUUAUAUUGACAACGAAGCGUGAACAAAGCAAACAUAUAUAAUAGGGAUACAUCAGUCAACAAUGUGUUAUAAUCUUAAUCACAAUAAAAACAAACAAGUAUUACACAUAAAAGCACAAAAGGCACAUAUCAAAUUCAACAACCUCAUUCAUUGCUUUCUUAUUGUUGUAUUGUAUUCAUGAAGUAUGCUUAAUCUACCUAUAAAGGAUUGAAACAUUUGAAGUACUGGGACCGAAUGGUUAUUUAAACAUUAACUCUGGCGUAGAAUCGCGCUUUUGACAUCAGAAUGUAAACAUCAUGCAGGAAGAGAUGUAAGAUAUAUGUAUCGUUCAAAGAAAAGAAAAUAGUCUAUUAUAGUUAAUUUAGGUACAAUAUAUAUCAUCUGCAAUAUGUAAAUUAUAAUUUUACUUUGUCCUUCUUGACUGUUGUCCAUAUGCUUAUUUUGUUUUUUCAAAUUUUAUAUUUGAGCACGACGUGCGUUCCGUCUACAAAAGACUCAUCAGGGACGCUCACAUAAAAAAAUGUUAAAAAGGCAAAUAAAACAUACGUGCUCAUAUAACGUGAAGAUUCAAUAUACAUAUGUGUAGAAUAUAUUUCUCUAGAACAAAAUAAUCAUAUUCUUUUAUAUAUAUGCUCUUCAACUUUGUACUUUUUGGCUUUAUAACUAUUAUGAUUUGAGCUCACUGAUGUGUCUUAUUUAGACACAACGCGCGUCUGGCGUACUAAAUCAUAAUCCUGGUACCUUUGAUAGCUAUUAUAUAACUCCAAGUGAGAAAAAAAUAGUUUAAAAACAAUGUAUAAUACGGCUGACAAGCCAUUAGAUGUAAAAAAAAAAACCAGAAUUUACGAUGAAAUAAAAUACAUAGAUAUCUAUGUAAAGGCAACAGUAGCAAACCGCUGUUCAAUAGUAUAAUUUGAUUGAGAAAAAAUAAAUCCCGUUUACAAACUAAAAACAAGGGAAACCGAUCUUUUUUAUAAGAGGAAAACAACGGAAGAACAGAAACACUGAUGAACAACAAAAACAAACGCCAAUGCAACAUACAUAGAAACGAACUGUUUGAUAACAACUGCCUUUUUCUGACUCCUUACAGGACAUUUUAAGGUUGCACGAGUAAAGACAAUUCUUUUUUAAGAUCUAACCUUAAUGAUGUAGUCGAUGAAUAAGCUGUUUAAAAGACUCCAUGUGCUUGUAUUCGAGAUAUAAGCCACUGAAAAUUUGGCGGGACUUGAUUUUCUCUAGAGUUUAAUGAAUUAAUAAUAGCACCGUUCUCUUUCAAAAACUACCAGAAAUAACAGAGAUUGCAUUUAAACCUCUAUGAACUUAACUAAUGGAAAGAAAUAGGGUUAGCUGGUCAAUUUUUAAAUGGCACUAUAUGGAUGAAAGAAUAGGAUUCCAAAUAUCUGACAAACAUUUAUAAACAAGAGGAGCGAACUCUCUUCAGUUAUUUUCAACAAUUACAAACAACGAUCUUUUACAAAUUGAGCAUUUAUUGAAAGUUUUGAAGAUAGCGAUUCAUCAAUACAAAUACGUUACGUGAAUCCAAUGAAAUAAUUGGUGACAGUUAAAUGCAUGGUCAUUUGAUCUUUUGUGAAGAAUUUUGCCAUUUGCAAUCACACCACAAUUUCUUUCGUAUAUAGUAACACGUAUUUUACAUGUAGAUUUAGCUAACGGUUGGUUGAUUAAGAAAAUAACACAAUGAUGACUAAUGUACCUUUUUUUGAUAUGUUUACCUUUAGUUCAAUGUGUUUAAGCUUUUGAUUUUGCCAUUUGAUUGGGGACCUUCCGUUAAAAUGUUCUUAAAGUUCGUUUUUUUUUGUUAAUGUUUACAUUUGUUGGUAAUAUUUUAAAUCAUGACUUUAAUUACUGCUUUAUCAUGCAAUGAUUACAAUGAGAACUCGUAAUUUCUAUUUGUUAAAGUUAGUUGAUCAUGAUUUAUUUUAAGCAGUUUUUUAUAAUAUGAACAUUUGUUGAUACGGUUCAUAAGUGUUUCUAGUUUUUUAUAAAGUCAAUCUUUAAAGACCCAAAUGUUGCAAAACACUUAUCCUACCUCCAUGACAAAUAUGUUGUUGUCCCCGCAGAUAAAGCCCCAAACAACAUCGUUUGUGUGUGUGAAACUCAGUACAUUAACUGCUUGAUGAACGAAAUAUGUAUUGACAGUUCACUUGGAAACUCAACAUAUACCCUCACGACACUUCCCAAAGAGGAAAUCCUGGAUAAUCAUAGGUCUGUUCUAUGUUCCUUCGGAAUUUUAACCAAAGAUGAAGAACUUGAUCUUCCAUCAUUGUAUUGGAUAGAUAGCGUAAGUGUCCUUACAAAUAACGGUGUAUUGAUGGGUCUUCCAAGUGCUCCACGAAACCUCUUUCUAGAUUAAUAACAUACAUUUUGUCAGCAAUCAAAGACGGGCUUCAAAGUUAUUGUAAAACUGCCUAUUCUAGAGGUGGCGUGAAUCAAAUGUGGAUACCUAAAAAUUCCAAAGAUCUUUUAGAGUACAUAACAUCUAACUCUCUUUCAUCUUGCAAUAGUAUAAAAACAUUUGACUUUUCUACACUUUACACAAGUAUUCCACAUUCCAAACUAAAAGACAAAUUGAAAGAGUUGGUAUUGCUUUGUUUCAUAAAAAAGAAUGGCCAACGUAUAUACAAGUAUCUUGUCUUAAGGAGGGAUAAAUCCUACUUUGUAAAGGAUAACUCUUGAUUCAAACAAAAAAUUCUCUGAAACUUACAUUAUCAAGAUGUUUGAUUUUUUUAUUGACAACAUAUUUGUUACGUUCGGAGGACGUGUUUCAACAGACUGUCGGCAUUCCAAUGGGAAUUAAUUGUGCCCCUCUUCUUGCAGACUGGUUUCUUUCUUAUUAUGAGGUUGACUUCAUACAGGAACUUCUGAGGAAGAAAGAUAAAAAGAAAGCAAUAUCCUUCAAAUCUACUUUCAGCUAAAUAGAUGACGUUCUUUCACUAAAUAAUUCAAAAUUUGGUGCCUAUAUUGAACGCAUGUAUCUUACCGAACUAAAGAUAAAUAAUACAACAGACACAAUUUAGUUGGCCUAAUAUCUUGACCCACAUCUAGAAAUUGACAAUGAGGGUCUGUUGAAAACAAAACUUUACGACAAGAGGGAUAAUUUUAGCCUUGUGAACUUUCUAUUUCUAAGUAGCAAUAUUCCAGCAGCACCUGAAUACGGGAUAUAUGUCUUCCUAUUGAUACGAUAUUCCCGUGCUUGCAUUUCCUAUAAUGAUUUUCUUGAUAGAGGGUUGCUGCUCACAAAGAAUCUAUUAAAGUAAGAGUUCCAAAUGGUGAAGUUGAAAUCAUCACUUCGUAAAUUCUACGGACGCCAUCACGAGUUGGUUGACCGUUAUAGAAUAACCGUUUCACAAAUGAUAUAGGAUAUGUUCUUUAUGUCGUAUCAACUAUCCUCUUCCCUUUUAUGAAUGUGAUCUACCUAAUUAUACUAUUUACCGGAUGUGUUAUAACAUAAGCAACACGACGGGUGCCUCAUCUGGAGCAGGACCUGCUUACCCUUCCGGAGCACCUGAAAUCACCUCUAGUUUUUGGUGGGGUUCGUGUUGCUUGUUCUUUGUUUUCUAUGUUGAGUUAUGUGUCCUUUUGUUUGUUUGUCUUUUUCAUUUUAAGCCAGGCGUUGUCAGUUUAUUUUCGAUUUAUGAGAUUGACUGUCCUCUGGUAUAUUUCGUUCCUCUUUUCUAUAGAUUAUACCGUUGGUUUUCCUGUUUGAAUGGUUUUACACUUGUCAUUUGGGGCCCUUUCAAGCUUGCUGUUCGGUGUGACCGAAGACUGUUCUGUGUUGAAGGCUGUACUUUGACCUACAUGUACUAGUAUAAUGGUUUACUUUUACAAAUUGUGACUUGGAUAGAGAGCUGUAUCAUUUGUACUCAUACCACAUAUUCUUAUAUCUAUAUAAAAUGUCCAUUUGGCACCAAUCAUUCAGUUUAUAUUGGAUGUGCUUAUUUUGUGCGGUUUAUAUAUGUUAGAGGCAAUAAGUGAAAUUAGACAUCAAUCUUAAAUCCUAGGCAACAAGCUAACGCCUAGGCAAUAAGUCUAUUGCCUACAUAAUGUUAGAUAUUAGUAUUAAAUCAUAGAUUCGCAAAAAAAUAAAAAAAUGAUAUUAUGUUCAUCCUAAAUAAAUAAACAUAUUCCCAAAAUUUUAAAGGUUUAUUCGUCUAGAUAAGUGAAUCUUGAAAACUAAUGAAUAUCUAAUUACCACAAAGUCCUAGUACCCAGCAUGACAUGUCCGUUUAUCAGUGUUAAAAUAAGCUGAUGGAUGUUCUACCCGACCAAAUAAUGAAAGAAGCCUACAUAGUGUCAAAGAUCAUCAAAUGAAGUAAUGCUUUACUAAGAUUGAUAAGAAUAUUUCAAAAAAAUAAUUUACAAGACAUCUUUAUUUUUUAGAGGUUUAAGUAUUCAGCAUACAAUACUGAAGUAAGGUUAAAAAGCUGUAAAUGACAUAAGAUCGUAUUUUGUUUAGCUCGUCAUUUAAUUUACAUGUUUGGAACCGAGAUACAGUAUCAAGUAUUAUAUAGGAAUUAUGCUAUACUAAUGUUAUAGUCGUCUCAAUAAAGUGAAAAAAAGUUCGGCGAUACUAUUGUUGAGGAAUUAUAAACUGAGAUUUAUCUCUUUUGAAAAAGUUGUUUUAAAUGUUUUAUUCUAACGUUUAUUAUAGCUUUUUUUUUUUUUUUUUACCUAAUUAAUAGCUUGACCAACGUUCAAAAACUUGUCUUCUUGUAAUCAGCAUGGCUUAAUACCUGUAAUUACCGGGAUAUUGUAAAAUUGACAUAUUCGGGUAUUCGAACGGUCGACUAACCAGUUUAAUCAGUUCGUCCCGUUUAUACCUUCACAUAUGUGACUUCAUUUUCAAUCUAGAAAAGAUAUAUUUAUGGUAUAUUUCAAAAUGAAUGCCGUUUUUUUUAUAAUUGUUCAUUCAUACUAAAUGUGAAAUAAGAAUAUCAAUUAGUAAAUUUCGGACUAUACAAAUGCAGAAUAUACUGUGAAGGUUUGCUGUCGUCUAACGAGAUAAGAGACCUAAAUAAAGCCCUGUAAUAUAAAAAAACAAAACAAACGAAAAAAAUAUGUGAGUAGAAGUUAACUGGAUCAGCAAAAUUACCAACCUUUGAUCUCGAGUGUAUUGGUAAUAAAUUUAUGUGAUUUUAUAGUAUAACUCCUUACAUUAUCCAAAUGAUAUCAAAUAAUCUAUAAUAUUUCAUAAAAUUAACUCUUGCGACCUCACUAAAAUCUGAGACUAUGUGUUAUAGUAGUCUCAGCUAAAAUCUAAUGCCAAACGCUUGAAGUAAAAAUGUAAUACAGGUACACCUUUCAUUUGAUCAUGGCUUUCAAAUGGCUAAAUUUAAGUGUUCCUGUACUCAUUGUGCCUAUUUAGGACAAUUCAAAUGCUUUUGUAAAACUAGUUCUAUUUUCCCUUUUUUAAAAACAUAGAUAAAUGAUUAGAGUGUACAUGAUAUCAUUUCAUUCCGAAAACUUAAUUUAAUUUCCAGACUUUAACCGGUUCAAUUAUGAGUUUAGUAACUUAUUUGACUUCAAAUAAAAUAUUACCAACAGAUGUAAUUAAAUAAUUCCACGGCGAUUCACUGGAAUUUGUCAACACCUUGAAAAUGUAUUUUAAAUUUGUGUAUUAAACGCUACAUCCUGUCUCAUAAUCCACUCAUCUGAAUAGACAGUCAGACCUGGCACGGUGUGCCCUAGAGGCAAAGCUAAUUACCGAUCUGCAAAUAACAUACAUUUUUACAGGCAUUUCACAAGUAUUGUGAUGUGAAUAGUACACACAUCGCAUAAACCUAGUCAUAGCGUAGAUAGUAAAAGGUCAAUAAGCGUAAACCUAUAUAUUGUCUUUACAGUUUAAGUUAUAUACUUUAAUUUAUUCACUUUAACAGUCUGAAAAAGCAUAUAUUAAAGCAAAAAAAUAAUAAUAAUAAUUUCUUGUGCUGUCUACAAAAAUAAAUCGAAAUAUCCAUAGUAAAUAUAGAAAAUUUAUCUAAUGAAUGUGAGCAAAUGUACGUCUGUGCGUUGUAUUUUCUUAUUUUCGGAUGGUUAUUAGAUAUAGCAUUAGUCAUCGGUGCGCUUACGAUAACGUUAAAAUAUUAUAAUAAAGCCAGACUUCUUAUGAUUGUAUUUUAAAUCCCGGGAUGCAAAACAAGGAGAAAACGUCACGACCUACAGGAAGUAGUUAAUAUUUAUUUCUUUAAUUAUUGAAAUUCUCCUUUAUUACUGCACAUAUAGCGAUACACUUUGUGAAUAUAUAAAAGUAAAAUAUCGCGAAUUUCCCCUCUAAAUCCUGAAAAUUUUGUCCAGGCAUUAAGCUAUAUGCCUAAACAGAAAAUUAUAGUAAAAUAAAAAAAAAUAAAAAAAAACUUUCGAAGUUAACGUAUAUUUUGUACAUAUUCGAUUGAUAAGAACUGAAGUCUGAAUAUCAAUUGCAUCAAAUAAUAUCAGGGUUUUUUUUUUUUGCUAACACUUGUACCUUGUGAUAGUCUUACACCUUUGUGGAGACAAUUGGCCAUUGUUAAUUUAUUGUUCCUCGUCCAUGUAGUAAGUAUAUCAUAAAUAUAUAAUUUUGACCAGCCAGUAUCACCCUGUGAUUGUCGAUGUAUUAGCUUUCAGUGACCAAGAACCAUACCUCUGGCCAGGGUUUCCCCUGGGUCAAUUAUUUUUUUCGCCACCUCUUUCGCCAAAACAAUAUAUUUUUGGCCACUUUAUUAUUUUUUUCGCCAAGUAACAUAACUAUAUUCAUUGAAUGUAUUUUAAACAACUUUUCUAAAUGAGGAGGCUACUUUCCUUUUAUAAUAAAGAAGAUAUAAGUCCUGGAAUAUAACAAAAUUAAUGGCCAUGUUUUGAUUAUAUAAUACCAGUAUAGUUCGUAGGGAAAGUUUCUUUAAAAGAAAAAUACUGAUGUGGCUUUUUGUACUAAGAAGUGGUUUUUAUAAUAAAAGAAAAACUUUUAUCACAUGAAAUUGAUCCCUCAUUUUAUGUGUAGUCAUAAAAUUGAAGCGCUACUCUCAUUCGAGGGGUUGUUCCCAACCUUUUGGAUAGAUUUCUUCAUAACCACAGUUUUCUUUUCUUGACCAUCGUAAAUAAAAAAGUGGAGACGUAAAACUAUUCUUGAAACACGCGUGUCACUCAAACGAUUUGUCAAGUAGUCUCCCUGAUCAAUUACCUAUAUUAAAGUCAAAGGAUAAUAGUUUUAAAUCGGAGAUUUUUCUUGCUUUUGAACAUUUUUCGUCACAACUACUUUCCUUUAUAAACUAUCUUUAAAAGCAGAGGAGACGCCAAAAGAGUUCUUCAAACACGUGCGUCGCAAAGUGGUAAAUAAAUUCUUUAUGUGACAUUUAACGGAAGCCAUUUAACUUUAUCAUUUUGUCAAUCAAUUCAAUCAACACCUUUAUUAAUUAGUCCUUUGUUGUCGAUAGCUAUAAAAUGCAAUCAGCUGAUUAUUGAUUUUCUGUCCAAAUCUUAAUGAGGUCAAGGUGAAUUCCGAGUAUUGCCUGAUCAGACAAAGUCCGAGAAAUUCGAAAAAAGUAAAUAAACAAGAUGGAGGAAAAUAAAUCGUUCUAUAUAUUUCUUUCGCCAAAUUCUUUCGCAAAUGACGAAUUUUUAUCGCCACAAUUAUUAUUUUUUCGCAAAUUGCGAAAAUGGCGACCGCCAGCGGAAACCCUGCCUCUGGCCGCAUUAUAAUUAAUUCAAAUAACCUUAGCUGUAAAUACGCGAACGUUGUCACUUUGCUGUUUAUGUGGAAAACAAGCUAUUGUGAAAACAAACUAAAUUAGAAGCCAGUAAUAUAAAUUAUUUUAAGGUGAUCUGGGAACACUAUAUAAGAAAAUGUAGCUUCCAAUUUUACUUUAAUUUGAAAUCGAUUCAAUUAAACAGUCCUCUUCUGUAAAAUUGUUUGGACAACACGGGUUUGACUGCUACUCUCUUUCCACAAAAUGGAAGUAAAAGUAUAGUCAUGGAAUCAUGGAAAAUUUGAACAUAGCCAUUAUCAGGUUGUUUAAUGCUAUGGUCUUUAAUAAUAUGCCGAUUUUACAUAUUUCUUUGCGAUUGUGUUUCCAAUAUACAGUGGAGAUCACUUCUAACCUCUCAUCAAAUCUGUAAGAAGCGGUCAGGAGAACUGUUCUAGGACAGUAUGUAGAACUGUCAUUCUGACACCUUUUAGACAGUUGUAGCUAGAACAGUUCUAACCUUGAACUGAUUUGGUCAGUUUUAUCACUAUUUUUUUUCUUUUCUUGUAUAACUGUAAUCCAUUCUCUCUAUUCAUAUAAUCAACAAUAUUAGAAAUGGCUGCAUUUUUUUACAACACCUGAUCAAAAAGACUCUAAAUCCCCCUUUUAUUGCACUUUUUACCCUAUUUUAGCUAAAUAGAUUUUUUUUAAGAAAGUUUACUGUUAAACACAUUUUUUUCUUUUUUUUUAAACUGAAAAAAGUAUCAAAUGUAUGGAUGUCUAUAUUAUUAGACAAAAUUUGUAAACACAGCAUUUUUCCCUCUUUUUUGCCACUUUGAGUUUUGUUACCAAGGAAACGGUAAACAAAUGGGGUUAAGUGUGAUAACUUUUUUGUUAACCUCAUGUGGCUCUAAUGAACUAAGUUUAAAACAAUUAUUUUUUAGUGCGUGCCGAAAUAUUUUGGUGAUUACAGAGAAUUGCUCUUAAAUGCUUAUAUUCUAGAUAAAGAAGUGAGAAAAAAUUUGGAUAUUUACGAAAAUUUACAUAUCCAAUAAAGGAGAUUGAUAAAUGAUGUGAUUUCUUAUCUUCAGUUGCGUAUUUUUGACCAACUAAAAUCAGCCUGACAAUUGAAAGAAAAUAUCACAAAGAAAUACGAGUACUUUUGAUCUGAAUACGAUACAAUACUUAGAAUUAGUAUAUAAGUUUAUAUCAAAUUUUUGAAAUAUAAUUUUUAAACGUUAUUUAUCAAGUACAUUUCAACGAAUUUACAUGUUGUAUUUGGAAGAUAAGCAAACAUAGCAAAGUUCACAUAUUGCCUGAAAUGGUGUUUGGCAAUAGGCUGAAUAAUCAUCAUCAGAUUUCAGGAAACAUGCUUAAUGCCUAGAAAUUUCAGGCAAUAACUUAAUGACUAAGCGUUAGCUUAUUGCCUAGGAUUUAAGCUUAAUGCCUAAUUUCACGUAUUGCCGCUAACAUAUAUAAAUAAAUACUUAAAGAAAGAGGCCAAAUAAAAUAUUGGUGGUUUACAGUUAUUCGACAAUAAUUGCUGGUUAUUCCUGCAAUAGUUCAUAGCUUUUCUUGGUUCAGGGACUUUUUCACCAAUGAAUAAAUCAUGUACAGAGACCAAUGUAGUUAACUAUACUUCUCACCUUACUCCUUGUAUCCCAAAUUAAAAGAAAUAUAUGCAGUUUGUAGUUAUCAUCUUCAUGUCUAACCUGAACAAUUUCUUAAAAGAGCUUUAAGAAGCAUUUCAAAUAUUUACCAUCAUCUAGCAUUUGCAAAAAAAAAGAAAUAGAUUGACCUCCUUCAUAUAAGUUAUAGUAAAAGUGCAAUGAUCAACCAAUAUAAAAUUUAAAUGACCUUAAAACAAAAAGAGAUGUUAAGGACUCACGAACACGGAUGUCGAGGAAAUUGAACAACCUUUUUUUGUAUGGAGGUCUCAAAUAUCACUAUUGUCAUUGGACUUUUACUGACUUUAAAACUAAUUUUGAUUUAAAGCUACAGAAAAAGCAAUUGCAUAAGCCUUUUUCCGCCUAGAAUCACAAAAUUAAAAAAAAGUCAUACUAAUGUAUAUAAAUAGCAGUUUCUAAAAUACAUCGAAAAAAAAAACGCUUAAAGGACUGUUACAUGAUUGAAUUAAUUAACUUUCUAAGCUACAAAAUAAACACCCAAUUGACUAUGAUUAAUUUAUAAACACAAGGGGUUAAUUUAUGUUUUUAAACUUCGAAUUGUCAAAAUAAUUAUGUUUAAUUAUGUAAAUGAGUUAUUCAAAACCCUAAACAAACAUCAUUUACACAUUUCAAAUGAAUGUUGUGUACAGAAAUGUUUUGUAAGUUUUAUAUUGAGUUUUUCAACUGCAAGUAAUCAGAAAAUGAUUUUUUUUAAAACUUCUGUUAAACGGCAGAUAUUUAUACAGUCUAAUUUUCUGUCUGUGGACACUAUUAAUUCUUCCUAAUUUGUAUGUGUGGGUCGUCGUCAUUUAGUCAAUUGUAUUAUCCGGUAUAGCUAAAUAGUUAUCAAAGGUACCAGGAUUAUAAUUUAGUACGAGCGUUUCGUCUAAAAGAGGGACGAAAGAUACCAAAGGGACAGUCAACUUGUCGAUUUGAAAUCAAGUUUCAUUUAUUUUACAAAUUUUCAUCAUUACCUUAUUACUUUAAAUCACCUUUUAUUACAUUGAUUGCAAGAAUAACAUUGAUUUCCAGGUGAACCGACAAUUUCACAUGUGAGAUAAACGUGGUACUCUUCUGACGUCAUGGAACUAUAAACGUUGUUAGACGUUGUCGAUAACAUCGGUUCAAAACAAAUUGUGACUGCGUAAAAAAAUAUAUAGUGCUUUACAUUAUUAUUUUAAUUUAAAGACAUUUGCAAAAGAAUAAUUCAAAAAAUUACCAAAUAAUCAAAAUGUAUGACAGAAACGUGUUAUUUGCAUAAUUGGUUUUAAACUAUUUGCACUUUAUGUCCCAAGCAUGGUAUCACUUUGUAUUAAAUUAAGUGUGACCUUUAUUUUCACAAUAAAAUUAUCACCACCAGGGUAUCACGUUAUAUUACAACCAAUGUGUCACUUCAUAUCAUCACUAGGAUAUCACUUUGUAUUCCCAGCAAGGGUUUCAUUAUAUAUCCCUAUCAAGAAAUCCCUCUAUACUUCCCAACGUGUAAUAUUUUAUAUAACCAGAAAGGGUUCAACUUUAUAUUAUCGUCAGGGAAUCUGUUGUCAUUCCAUGGUUUCACUUAUAUCACCUCAGGUAAAUCCCUUUAUGUACCCUCAUGGGUAUCAAUAUGUAUCACCUCUAGGGUUUCACUUCAUAUCACCACUAGAAUAUCCUAACACCAGGGAAUCACUUGUUAUUACCAACAGGAUAUUACUUGAAAUCAUGUCUUUUUUUAAAUUUUACAAUAUUUUUAAAAUAGUAAAAUCCUAAUACCACAGAACUACGAGGAAAAUAAACAAAAGAAAGUCAUUUAGCAAAUAGCAAACACAUUUAACCCCGCCACAUUAUUUAUGUAUGUGCCUGUCCCAAGUCAGGAGCCUGUAAUUCAGUGGUUGUCGUUUGUUUAUGUGUUACAUAUUUGUUUUUCGUUCAUUUUUUUUUUACAUAAAUAAGGCCCUUAGUUUUCUCGUUUGAAUUGUUUUCCAUUGUCUUAUCGGGGCCUUAUAUAGCUGACUAUGCGGUAUGGGCUUUGCUCAUUGUUGAACGCCGUUCGGUGACCUAUAGUUGUUAAUGUUUGUGUCAUUUUGGUCUUUUGUGGAUAGUUGUCUCAUUGGCAAUCAUACCACAUCUUCUUUUUUACAUAUACUAGAUUAUGGAGUGUGUGUCCGAGCCGAGAACUUCUCUAGUUCAUUCUAUGGUCGGGUUGUUGUCUCUUUGACACAUUUCCCAUUUCCAUUCUCAAUUUUACAUCACAUAAAUAGAUAACAACUGUCAUAUUCAAGACUUGGUACAGACAUUUUCUUAAGGAGAAAAUUGUAGUUAAGGGUUAAUAGCAAUAUAAACCUCUCACUAAUAUGACAGUUGAAUAAAAUCCCACUAUAAUGACAAUGAUGUGUGAUGAAAACAAAUAGACAUUGUAGGUAAAAAUGUCACAUUAGAUGUAAAGCAGUCAACAUUGUGUUACAAUCUUAAUCACUAUAAAGGCAACCCCAUAUGUAACAAAGAAUCACAAAAAGCCAUAUAGGAAAAAGCACACAUGCAGAAAUGAAAGACAUAAACACAAAAAUUUAUAAUACACAGGAAAUAAAGCCACGCAUGUACAACAUAAAUUUUACGUACGUAAAACAUGCGCUAGGAAACACAUAUAAAAUGCCUAUUUCUUACGCCGCACGUAAAACGCAGAUUUUAAACAUGCGUUACUAAUGCGUUUAAACGCAGUUAAAAAAAAAUAUGUUUGUGGUAACAUGCGUAUAAAAUGCGUUUAAAAAUUAUGCGACAAACAUCUGUUUAACAAAUAGCGUAUAAUACAUUUACAGAUAUUAUUCCAAAUCAUCCAUAAGGCCUGUACCAGGGUAACUAAAAACAAAUUCAUUUCAAUCUGUCUGGUUGCAGUAAAAUUGCAAAGUAUAAAUAAACACUAGCAAAGUAGAUAUUUGGGAGGUUUGAAAAUCACUUUCAGUUACUGAAACAUGUUAUCUAUAAACUCCCUAGAUCGUUUACGUUAAAAGUAAAUUGAUCUUUAUUAUUAUUAUUUUUCUAAAUGAGGAAAACUGUAUAUAUAAUAAAUCUAGAAACUAAAAAGCCUGUGUCUAUGUGCAUAUUAAACAAAGGACACAGAUGGAUUCAUGACAAAAUUGUGUUUUGGUAUUGGUGAUGUGUUUGUAGAUCUUACUUUACUGAAAUUCUUGCUACUUACAAUUUUCUCUAUCUAUAUAGACAUGGCCCUUUCAGAUAGUGGAAAAAAAUUACCAAUUGAAUUAAUGAAAAUUGUUAAAAAUUGACUAUAAAUGGCAACAACUUCUUAAGGGAUCAACUGAUUAGAUCUUAUUUUGCUGAACAUUAUUGCUGUUUACAGUUUAUCUCUAUCUAUAAUAGUAUUCAAGAUAAUAAAAAUGUCUUUACAAAUUACCAAUGAGGGGCAGCAACCCAACGCCAAAUUGUCCAAUUCAUCUGAAAAUUUCAUUGCAGAUGGAUAUUGACUCGACAAACAAUUUCACUCCAGUCAGAUUUUCUCUCAAUGCUUUGGUUUCAGAGUUAUAACCCUUAUGAAAUUUAAAAUGUUGCUGCAGCAUUGCCGCAGCGUUGCGGCUUUAAAGCUGCAACCUAAUCAGGUUGCCAGAGGAUUGUUGCCGGAGUAGUGCCGGAUGAUGCUGCUAGCGGCAUUGUUCUGGCAUCAUUGCGACACUAAUUCCUUUCAAAAUUAAUUAGCACCACAAUAUAGCCAGAAAAUUUGAUGAUGUCAUUUCCUGCGUUUUUAGCUAUUCCCUGUACUAGUGUGUUAGAAAUCCACCAUGUUGCUUGUGAUUAUAAUUGUAUUGAAGAAUUUGGUGUUCUAGCUGGUUUUUUUUGGAAGAUUUGAAGACUUGUAAGUAAACUCAUAUCAAGUAAUUGCAUGUAUAGAAAAGAUCAAUUUUGCAUUGUGUAUUUCAAUAACAUGGCCUCAUCUGAGUUCACUAUACAUGUAUCGGUGAAGUUUGUGUUGGUUUUUUUUUUUUGCAGCAGUUUAAUUGCAUACUUGUAGUUUGGUAAAUAACACAAUAUUAUUUGCUAAACUUAGGGCACAUUAAAAAUUUUCAUUAUUUUUUAUGCAGAUACCGCUGACAUUUAUUUUAUGUACCUGUGCAUACAAAUUUAUAAUGCAUGAAUGCAUGUCAUAUAUAUGCAUUGACAACUUGUUUUUGCCGGCACAAUACAUUUUAUACAAAGCACGGCCUAUUCGCAUGUUUUGUCACUAAAAUGAUGCAAGAAUAUAGCCGUAUUAGCGCCGCAACAGCACCACAAUCAUAAUGUCAGAAAACUAAUUUGCAUACGAAAUACGCUAUAGCUGAAUCAGUGCCGCAACAUGAUGCCAGAAUAUUGCCGCAACGGUGCCAGAAUAUAGCCGCAAUUAUGGUGCCAGAAAACUAAUUUGCAUACGAAAUAUGCUAUCGCUGCAUCGAAGCCGCAACAGUUUGCAGCAACAAAGCCGUAGCAUAUCCAUACUGCUGCCGCAACUAUGUGCCAGGAGGGCUUAUAUUUCCAUAAGGGAAGCCAUAGUCUACAUUUUACCCCUAUGUUCUAUUGUUAGCCAUGGCGGCCAUCUUGGUUGGUUGGCUUGGUCACCGGACACAUUUUUAAACUAGAUACCUCAAUGAUGAUUGUGGCCAAGUUUGGUUAAAUUUGGCCCAGUAGUUUCAGAGGAGAAGAUUUUUGUAAAAGUUAUCGACGACGGACGACGGACGCCAAGUGAUGAGAAAAACUCACUUGGCCCUGUGGGCCAGGUGAGCUAAAUAUAUAUAUAUAUAUAUAAUGAGAAAAUAACUCAAACUAUAAAUCAUUUCUCAUGUUCCGAUGAUGAGUUUUUGUCAGAACAUGAUACCAUGGAUACCUUGUAUACAUUUAUAAAAAUAACCUGCUUUUUGAAAUUCUCAAAUACGAGUCACGCAUUAUGUGCAUAAUAAAACGUAUGGACAUUUAUUGUUAUAAAUAUUUGGCAUCUCCUUCUUACAUUGAAAUUAAUAUAAAAAUGUUUGUUUUUUUUAAUUCCCUUAAUUUUCAUAAACCGCAGAAAAUAUAAAUGUAGAUCCGCAGAAACAGUAACAAUCUCAAACCCAUAUCAUAUAAUGGACCGGCUUCGUGCCGGCCCAUAAUAAGAAAAUUCAAGACUAUAAAUAGGUAUGUACCUGUAGUAAAACAAAUAUCCAUGGUAGGGCCUUUAAUAUUUCUACUGGACCCUUUGGAAAAAAAAUUGGGAUCAAGGCUGGCCCCUGAGCAAUUUUAUAUUUAUAAUUAAGAUGGGAAUACAUGACCUAUUUUUAAUGUUUGAGUUUUUAUUAGCCUUAAACAAGGUUUCAGUAACUGAUUGUACUAUCAGGUUUGUAAUUUUGAUUGUUUGUCUGUAUGUUUUAUUUUUUAGCUUUGUGCCAAUCCAAAAAAUCAAGCAAUUUCUAACUGAUUUCAACGCUUCGAUUUUAUUCUGUACUGUUACACAACUGUCCCAACAUUUUAUUUAUGCCUGUUUGGUAUAUAUGACGUGGCUCUGUACUAACACAUCCCGUCAUUGUAUUAAGAUUCUAUGAUAAUUGUUUUAUUCUUGUCUUGAAUGUAUACUGAUGUGCUUUGUCUAUGUGUCUUUGUUCACACAUCGUUGUCAUUGUAAUGGAAUUUGAUGCAACUGUGAUACAAGACGAGAUGUAUAGCUAGCUAUAAAACAAGGUUUAAUCCACCAUUUUCUACAUACGAAAAUGCCUGUACCAAGUUAGGAAUAUGACAGUUGUUAUCAAUUCGUUUGAUGUGUUUGAGCUUUAGAUUUUUCCAAUCUUUUAAAAGAUGUCUUGUGAUUGUGUAAUUUCUGCCUUUUGUUUGAAAUGACUGAUAUUUAUUAUGUCGGAUGUUGAAAGUUGCAUCGUCCGCAUGGUUUAUAAUCUCCCAUUUUCUCUGUCUCUUGUUUAGAUAUUUUAGAUGUAGCUCGAAUAUCCUUGAUGUGUUUUUCUGCGCAAAGUUAAGACGGAAGGUGAUGGAAUAAUCUAUUUUAGGGAAGAUUCAUUGUGAAUAUCAUGCCACUGUUUGUUUGAACUGUCUUUUCUUCGUAUUUAAGUAGGUUUAUUCGUUCGUUUUCUUUUACUUUACGAAAGCUUUUGAAAUCUUCUUGUUCUUAUAAACAAUGUAGACCGAUAAACCUACUGGAAUACAAAGAAAAAAUGACUCAAAAGAAUAAAAUUUCACUUGUUGCACUGAAGUCACAGACACCAAGUUUCAAAUCCGGCUGAGGGAACAAAACAUGUUUUCCCUUUUUAGCAUUAAGAGUAUAUCUUCGUAUACUUUAUUCAUUAUGAGAGCCAAACGGAUGUGAGGUUAUUCACGGAAGAUAUAUAAAGUAGUCAUAGCGCAUGCAAAAAGCAUGAUACAUAUACACUGUGUCUUCAUGUACAUAUACAUGUAGCUAUACAUGAUAUUUACCUUCAACAGUACUUUAGUUUUGUCCAUUGUUUAAGAUGAUCUGCUGUUUAAACAAUGAAUUUAACCUUUGUGAUUAUGGUUGCAGUCGUCUAUUUGCAAAUGAAUAUGACCCUUUAUUACAUGUAAUGCGUCGUUUUAAAUCUUUAGAGUACACAUGUGUAUGUAUCUUCAUUAAAACAUUUCUUUACACAGGAUUAUUUUGUUAAAAAUAAUAAGAAUAAACAGUUACGUUAUCAAUAUGCCAUUUUGUAAUUUUUGUGUACCUGUCGAGUGUUUGGUUGUGGAUAUUGAGCCCAUAAAGCAUUGUUCAUUCAGUAACAGUUUUUGUAACAGUAACUAAUUUCAAACAGUGAUCUUUUUCUUACUAAAAACGACAGUUUUGAAUAAUGUCUUGUGUCUAUAUAUAUUGGAAUUAUAGUAAAUCUAAUAGUCAAAACGGUUUACAAUUAUUAGACCCCAAAUACACUAUUAAACACGAAGUUUUAUAUACAUGAUACAUCAUUUUUAAAUUUCAAAAAGCAGAAUACGACAGUUGUUUUAAAAUUCAAACAUGGCUAUAUAUUUAAACUCACGCAUUACCUCAUAUGUAAGAUUUUUAGUGCAACACAUUUUGUUUGUAUAAAAGGCAACCAUUAAAGAAGUAAAAUACAAUAAAUGUUAUAUAUAAAUAUCUGCUUAAAGUUCAAUUUCAUUGGAAUGAUUACGUUUUAAACAUUUUUUAGUUGAUCAAAUUUGAAAAUAUCAACACCAUCUGUGAAUGCAGAAAUUAUAUAAUACUUUACCGGUAACAGAAUUACAAAAAAACCAUAAUUGACUACCUCGCUUUUACUUUGUUACAGAGUUUUGCACAACAAUCAAAUUACUAAAAUACAGAAGGAAGCAUUUCAAAACUUAUCAGCACUGACUACACUGUAU
rnacentral:lncRNA from 1 species